GAUGAACGCUGGCGGCGUGCCUAAUACAUGCAAGUCGAGCGAACAGACGAGGAGCUUGCUCCUCUGACGUUAGCGGCGGACGGGUGAGUAACACGUGGAUAACCUACCUAUAAGACUGGGAUAACUUCGGGAAACCGGAGAUAAUACCGGAUAACAUGUUGAACCGCAUGGUUCAUCAGUGAAAGACGGUCUUGAUGUCACUUAUAGAUGGAUCCGCGCCGCAUUAGCUAGUUGGUAAGGUAACGGCUUACCAAGGCAACGAUGCGUAGCCGACCUGAGAGGGUGAUCGGCCACACUGGAACUGAGACACGGUCCAGACUCCUACGGGAGGCAGCAGUAGGGAAUCUUCCGCAAUGGGCGAAAGCCUGACGGAGCAACGCCGCGUGAGUGAAGAAGGUCUUCGGAUCGUAAAACUCUGUUAGUAGGGAAGAACAAAUGUGUAAGUAACUAUGCACGUCUUGACGGUACCUAAUCAGAAAGCCACGGCUAACUACGUG
rnacentral:rRNA from 1 species